rnacentral:rRNA from 2 species
UUGGGGUGCUCGAGUGGCGAACGGGUGAGUAACACGUGAGUAACCUGCCCUUGACUUUGGGAUAACUUCAGGAAACUGGGGCUAAUACCGGAUAGGAGCUCCUGCUGCAUGGUGGGGGUUGGAAAGUUUCGGCGGUUGGGGAUGGACUCGCGGCUUAUCAGCUUGUUGGUGGGGUAGUGGCUUACCAAGGCUUUGACGGGUAGCCGGCCUGAGAGGGUGACCGGCCACAUUGGGACUGAGAUACGGCCCAG